rnacentral:rRNA from 1 species
AGAGUUUGAUCAUGGCUCAGCACGAACGCUGGCGGCAUGCCUAAUACAUGCAAGUCGAACGAGACCUUCGGGUCUAGUGGCGCACGGGUGCGUAACGCGUGGGAAUCUGCCCUUGGGUUCGGAAUAACUUCGGGAAACUGAAGCUAAUACCGGAUGAUGACGAAAGUCCAAAGAUUUAUCGCCCAGGGAUGAGCCCGCGUAGGAUUAGCUAGUUGGUGGGGUAAAGGCUCACCAAGGCAACGAUCCUUAGCUGGUCUGAGAGGAUGAUCAGCCACACUGGGACUGAGACACGGCCCAGACUCCUACGGGAGGCAGCAGUAGGGAAUAUUGGACAAUGGGCGAAAGCCUGAUCCAGCAAUGCCGCGUGAGUGAUGAAGGCCUUAGGGUUGUAAAGCUCUUUUACCCGAGAUGAUAAUGACAGUAUCGGGAGAAUAAGCUCCGGCUAACUCCGCGCCAGCAGCCGCGGUAAUACGGAGGGAGCUAGCGUUGUUCGGAAUUACUGGGCGUAAAGCGCACGUAGGCGGCGAUUUAAGUCAGAGGUGAAAGCCCGGGGCUCAACCCCGGAACUGCCUUUGAGACUGGAUUGCUAGAAUCUUGGAGAGGCGAGUGGAAUUCCGAGUGUAGAGGUGAAAUUCGUAGAUAUUCGGAAGAACACCAGUGGCGAAGGCGGCUCGCUGGACAAGUAUUGACGCUGAGGUGCGAAAGCGUGGGAAGCAAACAGGAUUAGAUACCCUGGUAGUCCACGCCGUAAACGAUGAUAACUAGCUGCCGGGGCACAUGGUGUUUCGGUGGCGCAGCUAACGCAUUAAGUUAUCCGCCUGGGGAGUACGGUCGCAAGAUUAAAACUCAAAGGAAUUGACGGGGGCCUGCACAAGCGGUGGAGCAUGUGGUUUAAUUCGAAGCAACGCGCAGAACCUUACCAGCGUUUGACAUCCUCAUCGCGGAUUUCAGAGAUGAUUUCCUUCAGUUCGGCUGGAUGAGUGACAGGUGCUGCAUGGCUGUCGUCAGCUCGUGUCGCGAGAUGUUGGGUUAAGUCCCGCAACGAGCGCAACCCUCGCCUUUAGUUGCCAGCAUUUAGUUGGGUACUCUAAAGGAACCGCCGGUGAUAAGCCGGAGGAAGGUGGGGAUGACGUCAAGUCCUCAUGGCCCUUACGCGCUGGGCUACACACGUGCUACAAUGGCGACUACAGUGGGCUGCAACCGUGCGAGCGGUAGCUAAUCUCCAAAAGUCGUCUCAGUUCGGAUUGUCCUCUGCAACUCGAGAGCAUGAAGGCGGAAUCGCUAGUAAUCGCGGAUCAGCAUGCCGCGGUGAAUACGUUCCCAGGCCUUGUACACACCGCCCGUCACACCAUGGGAUUUGGAUUCACCCGAAGGCACUGCGUUAACCCGCAAGGGAGACAGGUGACCACGGUGGGUUUAGAGACUGGGGUGAAGUCGUAACAAGGUAACCAAU